rnacentral:lncRNA from 1 species
UAUUGUAUAAGAUACCAGCGAAGACAUUUGCACGUUGCGGCGGGUCGAUUUUAGUAAAUAAAUAAAAAAAAACUUUAAGUAUAAGAAAUAAAUAAAAGAAGCUGAAAGAAAAUUUAAAAAAAAUAUAAAGAAUAAAAGAAAAGAUGGAAAAAUAAAAAAACUUAAACGGUUAAAAAAAUAAUAUUUUUUUAUUUCAAUUUUUAAUGCUUUUUUUUCCUCAUGUCUAAAUCUAUUUGAUAGAUUCAUGAUCGUAGUAUUAAAUUAAAUAAGAGAAAUUAAUUAUAAUAAGAGCAUGAUGUAACCCAAACUUAGAAAACCCUCUUAUGAUAUCAUAUUAAAUAAUACAAAAUAAUUAUUCAACUAAAUUACAGAAAUUUUUUUUUAUAAAAAUUCUUAUUUUUUACUUUUUCUUUCUAACUUUUCAAAAGCUCCAUUUUAUUCCUUCAAUAUUUCAAGUUAUUGUAUUUAGCCCUUUCCGUCAGAGUUCUAUAACUAUUCCGUCCAUUUUUUAUAAUUUAUACCGAAAAUAACUUUAAAAUGAUAAACAUAUAUUAAAAAAUAUUUUUUUCUUAUAGAAAAAAUAAGGGCAAUUCGAGCAUUUUUGCUAUCUUCAUCAACGCCAUACUUUUCUGAAAAUAUUUUUUAAAUUAUAAAAAAUUAAUAUAUAAAUUUUUAGAAGUCAAAAAAAAAAGUUUUAUAAAUUUUUUUUUGUAUUUUAGUUUAACUAUCUUAUUUCAAAACUUCAACUAUUUGUAACUUUAAAUUUUUAAAUUUGAGAUUUAAAAAUAUAGAUUUUAAUUUUAAAAUUUAAAUUUUGAAUUAUUAUUUUUAAUUAUUUAAAUUUUAAAUUUAAAUUCAAAUAUACUAAUUGGGACAAAAUUAUUAUUUUCUAUUUGUAACUAUCCACCAUCCUUUUUAUUUCACUUACUUUAACCAAACACUAUUUUACUUAUAUUUUGACUAAAUCCAAUUCUCAACCAAACACGAAAUUACUCUAACUCCACCUUAACUUUGAACUUAAUCUUAUUCCUGAAAUAACUAGUUCUUGCUUAAUCUCGAACCAAACGAAUCCUUAUAUUUAUCAGAACCGCCUACUUCUCACUGGGGAUGUCAAUGGGUAUGGGUACCCGAAAUUUUAUAUGAAUCCGAACCCGAAUGGAUAUAUCCGAUGCUAAAUGGUUAUAGAUUUGGAUAUGGAUAUCAAAAAUAGAAAUCCAAAAAUAUGAAUUCGGAUAUAGAUUUUGACUGUACCCAACCCGAACCUGAAUUUAUUUUGUAUUUUAUAUAUAUAUAUAUAUAUAUAUAUAUAUAUAUAUAUAUAUAUAUAUUUGAUGUUAUAUUUAAAUUUGUAUAAAAAUUUAAAUUUAUUAUAAUAUAUUUUAAAAUAUUGAAAAAAAGAAAAAUUGUUUCGGGUUCAAAUUUUCGGGUUCGGAUUUCAGAUUUUUGGUCGGGUUCGAAUUUGGAUAUGAAUUUUUAAAAUUCGUCUUAUUCGA